rnacentral:lncRNA from 1 species
GUCCGAUCGCGAUUAAAUAGGGAGUGAAUUUGGACUGUUCAUCGCGAUUCAAUCUGAACCGUUCGUGCGCGAUUCAAUCUGGGCCGUCCGUGUGCGCUUCCAAUAUGAGCCGUCCGUGCGCACGGGAACGGACCUUAGCCGUUCGAUCACGUGCACGCGGAUCACCCAUAUGGCUUCCCCCGUAUGGCAUCCCGCGUCAGUGCCUCUGCCACUUGGCGCGUCCUGGUUGGUUGGGGUUGCUGACCGGGCAUCUGACGUGGCACAAUUUUUCUAAAUUAUGUUUUAACUCCUGAUUUUUAAUUUUUCUUUCAAAAAUGCUUGCAG